CUAGAAUUUUACAAGAAUUCAAUUGAUUUUCUUUUUGUCAAUUAUCAUGUUUGGAAUAAAAAAUAAAAUUCUUUUUAACUUAAAAAAAUUCAUUUCCAAAGAAAUUGUAUGAGAAUUCAGUUGAACUUUUUUCUUGACAAGUCUCACCGUUGCUUGAGCAGCGAUUCCAGAAAUGGGGAAUGAGCGGCUGAGCCUUAGCUAUUAGUUGCUUGCAUGUUUGUUCAUCCAAGCAUUUCUAUAAUUUUGUAUUAAACAUAAAGAGCAUUCUGAUCAAUGUGGACAUUUCCUUGUGGCAUGUUUACAUUGGUCACUACACUAAACGUCAGCAUCCUGAUCUAUACAAAUGGGUCCAGGAGACUGGUUUAGGUCAAUAAUUUGCCUGAGGAAAGCGAAGGAAGAUAGGUCCAAAAAUGUGAAGGUGCACUCGGGUAAUGGAAAAACAAAUGGGUCCAAGAAAAAUUCCAAUACUCAGAGAGAGUCAAGUAGUCCUGCUUGUGCCAAUGGCAGCCCACAGAGAAGUAACGGUGUUCCUGGAAUGUCAGUAGAACACAAAGCUGCCAUUCGAAUUCAAACUGCUUUUCGAGCAUAUAUGGUAUAAUUCAUCCGUGUGUGCAUAUGAACAUUAAACUAGUAAUCUAAUGGUAUAUUUGCGCCAUUUGCUCCUAAUGGAUGAUUACUUUUUGUCGCAUACAUGAAUAAUUGAAUGUUAAAUUGUGUGUUGAGUAUAUAUGUUCCCAGAAAUACAUAGGACAUGCUGACACUUGAGUGGCGAGGUAAUAUUUGGAAUAAUAUUUGUCAUUUUACCCUCAAUUGUGGCUAGCACGAUCCAAACUAUAUUGGGAUUAAAAAAACAUGAAUACUAUCUCUUGCUUCAGAUGUGAUACUAAAGUAGCAAUUUCAUAAGUCAGGUGUUUUAGGAUGGUAAUUGGUUGCAGACUAAUUUGGGUGAAACUCGUAACACUGAUUCAGUGUCAGUAAAUUCUACAUGUUAUCAAUCCAGAUUAAAGAAUCGAGAAUUUAAAAUUUCAGAACACAAAUGCCUGAGUUCAAUUAGCUUCUAUUUGUGCACAAGUCGAUAUUGAAUGGCUCAAUGCAUUAUAAAAUAGCUGUACUGCAAUUCAUGUUGAAGAUUCAUAAUGUUGAUCUAGGAGGAGGAGGGUCUGUGAUACCUGUAAUGUUUUGUAGUCCAAUUUACAUCAAGCUGAUUUUAAGUUUUUAUUUGCAUGAGUAUAUUCUUUUUAUUUGUUGUCUCUAGGUUUUGUUAGUGUUUAUUUUCCCCAUAGAACCCAAUAUCCAUUUCCCUAUUUUCAUAUUACAAUUUUGUUCUAAUAUUACUUAUCUCUUUAUGUCAGGUGUUCUGGGACAAAAUGUUUCAUUAAAAUGGCAAUAACACUUAAGCACUUGAGAAUUAUUAGAUUGAUAUUAUUCUCUUUUAUAUAAGUAUGAACGUUGAUAUCAAGACGCUUCAUUGACUUGUCCUUUUUAAAUCAUUUACUCUCCUUGUAACACCAGCAUUGAUUGUCUGCUGUCCCCGAAGCCCCACUAUAAGCCUUUUAAAUCAUUUUUGCAUAUUAUCAUUUAAAUGACCAUUUUAUUUUUCCAUAAUUCAGUCAUGGCGGAAUUUUAUAUCAUCUGUAAACUGUAAUGAUCUGGUUGGAUCAUUUUCAGGCAAAAAGAACAAUGCGACGUCUGAAAGGAGCUGUGAGAUUUAAUGUAUUGAUUCACGCCAAUGAUACUCAAAAGCAAGCUUCGAGCACAUUGAGCUAUAUACAUGCGUGGAGCAAUAUACAGGCUCAGAUUAGAGCUCGCCGGCACCAUAUGGUCACAGAAGGCCGGAUUAAGCAAAAGAACAUAGAAAAUCAGCAAAAGCUUGAGGCCAAGCUCCAUGAGCUGGAGGUACUAAUGACUGUUACCGACCCGACCUUAUAGCUUUCAUUGCAUAAUUUAUUAAAUAGUACCAUGCUGCCAAACUAGGCCAGUCUUUAUUAUCUCUUUGGAGCCCAUUUAGUUAAUUAACAUCAUCAUCGUUUUGUUGAUGGCUUGUUACUGUUUUGUAGGCCAUAUGAAAACAACAUUUUUUUAUAAAUUCUCUAGGGCAUUAAAGUGGGUGUAUAUGCUUUCUUUCCCCUUUUUUUUUGCCGAAACCAUGAUUUGCCUACAGGUUUUAAGUUGCUUCAAAACUCGUAAGUUGACUUAUUUCAUUGAUAUAGUUAGUCCUAUAGAUCAUAUGAACCUCAGAGUUGUAGGAAAAUUUGCAGCUGUCAUCUAAUUGCUUCUGCAGGCUCCUUUAGUUUGUUCAUUUUUUUUGAACUGCAAGGUAAAGCUGUGUUUAUCAAAAGCAGGCAAGGAAGGAGUCUAUUCGAGUAAUCAAUGAGCCUGGCCCAUAUUGAGUAGACUAGUAGUUGCUGGAUUAAUCCCCAUACAAGUGGGCAUGUCCUCUACUGAACUCGAGAUGCUUUUAUUUCUCUUCGGCAGAAAAUUCAAUUCUGCUUUGUUGUAAUCUGUCUCGCUUGGUAUCCAUCACUGCCGCCAGCAGAAAUCAAAUUGGCGGGGUUGCAAAAUUGAAAUGGAGGAUGGUGGCUGCAAGAUCAAUGCUAUUUUAAACUUUUAUCAUCUCAGCUUGGCAGGUGUUGAACUGAUUAUUAAAGCACAUAAAUUGUUAAGCUACACUUGGUAGUGGGGCUAAACUUGAUAGGGAGUGUAUGAGUAUGGAUUCUCAAUAUAUAUUGUUAAGCUCAUUUCGAUUAAUAAGUUGUUGGGAUUAAUAGCAAACUAACAUGUUAUUGGAGCACUAAGUCCAGCAAGGAUUCUUGAUCUUGAAUAGCACACAAGCUUUUAGGACCAAACUACAAUAACAAGAAUAUUUGUUUCUUGCUUUGGAAAGUGAAGGUCUCUCGGAUGCAUCCUUUGAAAGGCAAUGAAAGUGCUUCUGAACUAUUAUCAGUACAUUUUAGGAACCAUUGUAAUAAUUAUGGGUUUAACUUGUUUCAUAGAUGGAAUGGUGUAGCGGCUCUGAAACUAUGGAAGAAAUCCUUUCUAGGGUGCAACGGAGAGAAGAAGCAGCAGUUAAGCGUGAGCGAGCAAUGGCAUAUGCCUUCUCUCAUCAGGUCAACAAAUUGUGAGAAAUAUUUGCAUCCUUGAUUAUUGUAACCAACAGUUCCAUUGAAGGUAAGUGCUGGUCAUUUUGAUUUGCAGUGGAGAGCCAAUCCUACCCAGUAUCUAGGCCAGGCUUAUUACAGCAUUGGCAAGGAAAAUUGGGGUUGGAGCUGGAAAGAGCGUUGGAUCGCAGCUCGCCCAUGGGAGAUUCGGGUUCAUUCUCUACCUAACAACCCAAAGAAAGGCCAGAGCAUGCAAGUGAGCAAAUCAGAGAUGAAAAUAACACUCUCAACCAAGCCUGCUUUGUCAAAUGGAAAGGUAAAUACUAAAGCUAAAAAACUGUCCGACAUAUCUGUUGAUAAUCAAGCUGCCCAAGAAGCUUAUACUACAGCUGUUAGCUCCUCUCGUUCAUUGAUUCCAAAUUGACAGAUUAUAGCUUAGCAAAUUUCUAUGAACUCAUAGGCUCUUUUAAAAUUUUUAUUUUUAUCCUGUGUUAUUCUGGUUUUGGCCGUUUGAGGUUGGUGUGAAAUUAGUCUACUGUGUAAAAUAAGGCAACAGACCGUUGAACAUGCACCUUGAUUUGGCUAUCAUUUACUGUAAAUUAUCUCAAAUACUAUGCAGAAUCUUCCUACCUUUUCAAAUUCGGAAUUGUAAUGUGGGUUUACUUCAAGUGGUAAGGAGAUGAGGUUUUAAUAUGAAAUAAUUAUUAUAUUCUAUCAGAUUUCAUAUU
rnacentral:misc_RNA from 1 species